CCGCCACCUGGGCAGCACCGCCCCGGGCCGCAGGGCUGUGCAGUGAUGGGAGCAUCCCACGGCCCCGCGCUGCUGCUCUGCCCUCCCUCUGUUGUCACCCCUCUGUCGCCCCAUGUGCUGCCCCUGCACUGCCCUCCGCUCCGCGUCGCCCGUCGCUGCCUCCCGCAUGCUCUGCACAGAGACACUACACGGAAUCAAUUCGAUUGGAAAAGACGCUGAGAUCGUUGAGUUCCCUUCCUCUGGAGCCGUCGGUGCCUCCCCGAGUCCGGACUUGGCCGUGCUGCAGUCGCGGAACCGCGGGACGCCCGCACAGCCCCUGCGGGAACCGCACCCGCGCCGCGCCGCUGCCCCGCCGCCAGCCCCGUGCCCUCCGUGUCUCCUCACAUGGCGCUGCAGCGCGGCCACAGACUCACGAAGAGUUCAUUCUCAGCUUCUGUCAAUACUUUAGGUCUCAGCCAAAAUAAUUACAGGCUUUUCAGAAGAUGGCUGGAGUCAGUUCAAAAAAAGGACUCAAAUAGAAUACAGCUGGAUCUGAGGUACAAAAAUCCAAAAAUGUGUUGAAAAAAACCCAGUCUGACUCACAUGGCUCCUCAUGUCUUGACCUUUGUUGUGUUCUUUGUUCUGUGUUCUUUGGGGACAUCUAGAAUUUUGUCAUACAUGUUCACAACAGACAUGAACUCUGCAAACUCUGAACUGCUGCCCAAGCCCUGCUGGAAAUGAGAAAUUCUGUGGAAUAAAACCCACCUCUUUUGAAGAGCACUUUUGGGUGGACAUGGAACUAAGCAUGUUUGUGCAAAUGUUGUAUCUCCCCUCUAAUAAAUUCUAUUACAAGCCCAUGCAUCAACUUUCCUGCUCACUAUUCCCUAAGCAUCAAGAUCUAUUUGAUUUACCUACUUAUUUGGCAAGGGAGCAACUCCUUUACUCACCAAGGAAGGCAGGGCAUAAACCUGGUUUUACAGCUUUUUGGCCAAGGCUUGCAAGAGCUCCAUACAGAAGCCUCAGAAGACAAAGUAGAAAAAGCAGUUUGUUCUUUAUCCUCUGAUGAGGUAAAUAACAAUUAUACCUGACUUACAUUACAUCACAUAAAAGCUACUUCAGCUGCCUGGGCAUGUACAUUAUUCGAACCACCUUGUAGGUUGAGCUAGUUGAAGAAGAGCAACAAUAAAUACAUCCCCAAAGAGCAAAAGUCUGGGCUUGAAAAUUGUAACUUCAGAACAGAGCAAAAACCCAGCCACAAACUUACUGGGUAUUUUUUAGGAAAGUAGGGUGAUCUGCUGGGACGUUUCCUUACUUGUGAUUCACCUCUUGUUUCUAUUGAUGAAUUUGUGUGUAUGACUGUCUGUUUUCCUCAUGAAUCAUAUUUUUGGGAUUUCUCUGAUCUGGAUGUUGCGGUGCUCCUGCUCCUUCAGGAUUUUUAAGUCAACAUCUUCUAUUUAUUGCUGAAUAAUUAAGUGUUCACCAUUUCAUUUGGUGUACUUCUGUGUUUGAAGAUUUAUUUUGGUAAUCUUCCUUAGAGGGUGCAUAUGUGAUAGCUCAGUGCAGUAGGGUUUAUUCUCAUGAAUCUUACACUGGUAUUAGCUUCUGAUCACUCACCCUGUGAGUGUCAAGAAGAAGAAAAUGCGUGAAAUGAAGAAAAAAACUAUUAAAAAAAAAAACAAACUAGGCAAAACAUGUUUAUUGAAACACUUAUUUUUCCUGUUUUUCUAGUCUUUUAUUUUGACCUGGAAUAAACUCUGAACUUGACUGCAAUGUGACUUUUUUUUCCCUGGGUUCUUGUCAAAAUUAUUCAUUAUUCAAGAAGAAGGGAGUAAAAAGAGCAGUAUAGGAUGCUGGUCUCAGGAAGAUCUUGAGCAGCUCUGUUAAGAACCGAGGCAAAUGGGAGGUGCUGUUCUUUCACACAUAGAAGGUUAAACUAGUACUAGAGGGCUAGUACAACACUCAUAGGUACAACAUGCAGGAUAAAUGCACUCCUGUUAUGAUUAUGGAACAGCAGGUGUUAGACUUACAUGAGAAGAGAGUAAAUUACAUCCAGCUGAAAUAUUAUAGGUAUAUCACAAUUGGUUCAUCACUGCUUGGCAUAAGCAUAUUAUUUGAAGCAUUGAGUCAAGGGGUUAAGUUAGAAAUGUAGUUAGCAAAGAUCAUAUACUGUGAUUAGAGCUUAACAAGGAAACUAACUGAUACCAGGUGGGAUAACUGAAACAAAGUUGGGAAUGACAGGUGAUAUAUGAAGUAUUGUAAGAGUGCAGGAGUCAUAAAUACUGCUGACUUCUAAAAAUGAGAAGAGGUUUGGACUGCGACCAGCAGAUCAAAAAUCCUGCCAAGGCAGCUUUCUUCCUCCCACACACCCACUCCCUUAUUUCAAAUCCCACCAACCCAAUUAAGAGAACACAACUGCGCAGCUGUAAUGGAUAUUCAGCUGAUUAUUAUACAGAGCAGGCAGGUAAUGAUUAUGUAUUAUGUGUCCUUAGAAACUGUGUGAAUAUGUAAAACCUUUUCUAUAUAAGUAGUGAGCAGAAUUCUGCAACUCUUUGUGCAUGUCUUUGGAAAAUAUUCCACAUGUGUCUGGCGCUGUAAUAAAUACCCUUCAACUUUUCUUA